rnacentral:lncRNA from 1 species
CUCUCACCCUUUCAUUCUCUGCCCGGGGCCUGACGCGGGCCGGCGAAUCCCCGGCCUCACGUAAGCGCGCUCGCCGCCCGCCCUGCCUGCGCGGCCCUGCCCGCCGCCCUACGGGAGCCCGGGGAUGUGGGCCGGGCCUGGGGCCGCCUCUGCUUACCUUUCAGCUGCUUUUUUUUUUUUCUCCUUCCCCCCUUUUCCCUCGGCCGGGCUGACAGAUCAGAGUGAGAGGCGCUGGCAAUGGACUAGGAAGCUCGGCUGCCGCGGCUACUGCUCCCCCCUGGGCUCCGGCGAGAGCCUUUCCCUGUCAAGCAAGAGGGGUUAAAUGAGAAGCAUUCGAGGAAGCAAAUUUGGACUUUCUGUCAAUCUCACUGAGAGUCUAAGGUGAUUAGUAAAAUAAUACAUGUACAAUUCUAACCAUGCUAGACUACUUAAGCAUAAUAUUCCAACUGUCCAUACUAUAGUCUAACUAAAACAUCCGGGAGCAGUGCUUUUUCUAUUGGCUAUUUCUGUGGUACAUUCUUUAUUACUAAGACCACUUAAAGUGUAUGCACACUCUAUUUUUAAAUGACUAAUGUCACUUAAUAUUGAAAACUCUACAGGUUAAAAAGCAAAAAAUACAAUACAAGAGAAUAGCCUGAGGUAAAAGCAAACAUACAAGAGGAGAGAAAUAUGGUUUUCAUUAUAGCCUUUUGUGUGGAAACUCUGUGGCAUAUUUGAGGAAAUAUCUUUAAGUAGUCCCUCCCCCCAUUAUGUAGGAUAUGAUCAAUUAUACCAUCUGCUCCUCUAGGUAACUUGGCAGCUGUUAAUUGACUAACAUUAUUCCCUGAGUUUUGCUGUAGCCAUGGAUGGUUCUAGAACAUAAAAACAAGAGAUUUGUAAGAAUGGCUUUUGUGGCGUGGGGGGUGAGGGGGAUAAAGGAGUGCACCUGUUGCAAUGAGCACCGGGCGAUGUACGGAAGUGAUGAAUCACUACAUUGUACACCUGAAACUAAUAUUACACUGUAUGUUAACUAACUGGAAUUAAAAUAAAAACUUCAAAAAUAAGUAAGUAAAUGGGAAG